rnacentral:tRNA from 1 species
GCCGGCGUAGCUCAGUUGGUUAGAGCGUGGGACUCAUAAGCCCGAGGUCAGUGGUUCGAAUCCACUCGCCGGUA